rnacentral:lncRNA from 1 species
CUGAUGCGUGGGAGAGGCCGCAGCUGCAGGAAUGAUUUCCUGGGGAGGUGUCGAGAGGAGAGGGGACCUAGCCCACAGUCGGGAGCUUGGCCAGCUAGGAGCUGAGACAUCAACAUCAUCAGGAGGAGGCGCAGAACCAGGCGUGGGUCAGCCAGGGACUUGAGGGGGGGAGGUGACACUCCCUGGCAUCCUCUUGCUCCUUGAUAGCAGGAGAGUGUCAAGUAUUGGGGCUGAGGAAAGGAAGAGGUACUUGGGGUGGAGGGGUUGAGAGACAGGAGCCCUUAUCCCAGCCGAAGUAGAAUAAUGAGCUGUGGCUAUUUUCUAGUAAAAGCCAACACAUACGUGAAAACUGGCCACAUCAGUGGAGAUGCCUGGCUUCUCUGCAGUGACGUGAGCUUCAGGAUGCAGGGAUGGAGUGAGUUCAGCCAGCAUGUCGGCUGGAUGGGUGGGCACCGCGUCUGACUUGAUCCCUCUGUCUGUCCACCUGGUCCCUAGUGUGAGUCCAGCUGCACCGUUUCGUAAGCCCCCUGCCACUGCGCAGACCCUGGUGAAAGUGAAACAUUCCACGGGGAUUUGGGCUGUGAGAAACAGCCUGCCUCUUAUCAUAUUCUGCUGGGAGAAAGUGCAAGCAACACCCCCAUGAUCUUAUCAAUAUCCUGCCAGGCAGCAAGCCAUAUUGCCCAGACCCCUCCCACCCAUACCUAUAAGUACCCCAGCC